UCGAAAUCAUCAUGAAUAGUUUACAAAAGGAAUAUUGUCCACACAGUUGUUUCCCAUAAUCGACCUUUACCGCACCCGGAAGAGGCCAUCGAGUGUGUUCAAUCAAAGCUUGGAAAAUGGACAGUUGCGCGAUGGCUCAUGGCGCGAUGGCUGGGGAAAGUUGAUAGAGUGCAUCGGGAGGUCUGAGGUUUUUUUUAAUUAUUGCGGACCGCAGCCGUACGUUCAUUUUUUCUUUCAAAAAUUUACCUCACAAUGAGCGCAGAAAGUCUCCGAAUAGGAAGAAGGGAACCAAAAGAGAUGUGCUUAUCAUUUAAUCGGAGCAACGACCACUAAAGCACUUCCCGCAUGAGCCAAUACUGUACGCUGAAUCUUCCGUAUCAUUCUAUUCUGAUAACAUUAAUAGUAACGUUCGAUAUUGCAUCUUGGCUAAAUGUGCCUUUGCUUGAACGGAUAAAAUAUUAUUCCCGAAAGAUACGAUGAAUAUUCUUAGGAACAAAAUGAUUAAUUUUGCAACGCAAUCAAAUGAUAGAGAACUAUUUAAGAAAGAUACAAUUAAUGGUCUUCAGAAUUAAUUGAGUAUUUUAGCAACACGCACACACUUCUUCGCUGUCACAUCAACACGCGUUGUCAAACUGUGUAAAAAAAAGUUUCUCCCGGAUCAGGUCGGGCAAAUUUUAUUAUGACUCGUCCAGUUACGAAACUGGAACCGGAAGACGAAGGCUUCGAAGAAGGAUAUAUGAGGGCACAAGCUGGAGGAAAAAUCCGAAGAAACUUUUUCUUCCGGAGGCAGAACCAAUGCAAGGAAAAGCAUCACUACCCGCCGACCGGUUUGGCAGUGAUGCAGCAGCAGGCUGCAGUUCGUAAGUGCUGCAGCGAUGGAACAUCCGGAAGCUGUUCCUGCAAACAUCCGCGGAAGGUUUGUUUUUUUUAAUUAAUCAUUUUAGAGGAAUAAUAAACUAUAGGUAUGUGAAAUAAAAUGAAUAAGAGUACAUUAAACUUUUUUUUUAUUUUUUGCGGAAAUCCAAUUGCAAUUUAUAAAAUUAACAAAUCCCCAAAUUGGGUUUGAAUCUUUUCAUUAUUGGGUGACGAUAUGCUCUAUCGUUACCUUUUUAUGAGAGGAUCAAUAGAUAAAGAUAACACGAAUGAUCAAACCGUUUUAGAACGAGUAGAAAAAAGCAAAAAAAAUGAAUGGUUACUCUACUUAACGACCCGUUCGCUGUAUCGUAAAGUGCGUCCAAACGAUUCCAUUCCAUGGAAAAAAGACUACCUUAAUCGUACAUCAAUAAUCCAAAACUAUAAAGCUAAUCUUUCGUGUGUCUUAGGAGGAAGAUAAUGGAAAUCGUUAUUGUAUAAUACUGUUCUAUGCGGGUUGGAAACGGAUCCCGCAGAAAAUCCCUUACAGCGACGGAAACCAUCAUCUGGCAGAUAGUUUUCUGGAGGGUCAAAACAAGAAAAAUAUCAACUGGCAUGAUAAAACAGGUGGCUGCAUCGAACGGAAGCAAAUCCGUACCGGAAGCUGGAGACUGAUGAGCUCCAGAACAGAACCGAGCCGGCUGAGCCAUAUGAAAGAUGAUAAUCUUCGGCAACGAUCGCCCCCGAGGAACUGCAACUGACAACCAAAGAGAAGGAAGCCUUUUAAUAUCGCCCGUCAAAGUUAUUGAUUUGUGAUUAAAUCGUUCCAAUUAUUACCUUGAACGAUAUGAAUAAAAAGUUAAAUGUUGAUAAGAUUUUUUUUUUUUC